CCUGACCCUAGAGGCAUUCCAGGUGUGACCGCUGUGUCACAUGUGCAUUAGUAGGCUGCAGAGAGGAGAGAGGCUAUGUCUAUGCUCAGUGUUCUGACUUAAGAACAUCUGAAUGAUUAGCAGAAUCAUUCC
ensembl:snoRNA LOC120103301 small nucleolar RNA SNORA17